rnacentral:misc_RNA from 1 species
GAUGAAGAACGCAGCGAAAUGCGAUAAGUAAUGUGAAUUGCAGAAUUCAGUGAAUCAUCGAAUCUUUGAACGCACAUUGCGCCCGCUAGUAUUCUGGCGGGCAUGCCUGUUCGAGCGUCAUUUCAACCAUCAAGCCCUAGGCUUGUGUUGGGGCCCUGCGGCCGUCCGCAGCCCCCUAAAAACAGUGGCGGGCUCGCUAUAUACCGAGUGCAGUAGUUUACUCUUCGCUCAGGACAUGUAGUGGGUUCUUGCCGUAAAACCCCCCAUUUAUCAAGGUUGACCUCGGAUCAGGUAGGAAUACCCGCUGAACUUAAGCAUAUCAAUAAGCGGAGGA